rnacentral:lncRNA from 1 species
GAGUGCAUUUGAAAAAACAAGGAACUCAGAGCCUAAAUAAUGUGUCUUAGGUGAGUUCUCUCAGAAGAUGACCCAGAAAGUGAUUCCUAAAAAGGACCAAGAAGUAUAACUUGUGGAACUCAGAAGAGAAGAAAGUAUUAUGUCAUGAAGUGAAUAAGUGAAGAGAAAUAGACCUAAGAGUAUCCUUUAGUAAGUCUGAGGCGAAAAGAACAAGUUCUCCAUCUUUGGAAUUAAGGAGCGAGGAGUUAUUCCCAGAAGGCCAAGAGAAUGAGAAGAAGCGUUAUUGGUCUAUUCAAGAUUUUUCACCCUUCCUUGAGCCAAGUUUGAGAAAUUUUACUGUCCUAGAAAUUCAUCAAAUGUGUGGAGACUUUCGAACUUAUUAACAAAUAAUGAUCAUGUCAUCUGGCCAUGAAGCAGUUUUUAAGUAUUCUUCUGGAUCUUAGCUAGCAUUGUACAUUGAACUACUCUACAGAUAAAUCUCUGAUUUAUUUUCAUAACAAAAAGCAGCUCGCAUUCAACAGAGAAGCCACGAAAAGCACACAGAAAAUCCCAAUGGAAAAAAAUCUCCAAAGUUCACUUGUGAAUCUACUGUCUAAAGACAAUU